AACUAUCACGCUUUGCCCUGGCUCAGGAGGAUCUAGAGUAUAAGAUCCCAUUGAUACAGUGGGCCAAAAACAUGAGUGAGAAGGAGAUUCAUCUAGUAGCUGCAUCCUGGAGCCCCCCUCCUUGGAUGAAAACCAAUAAUGAUUACGCUGGAUUUGCUUUCCUAAAAGAAGAAUAUUAUGAUCUUUAUGCAAAGUAUUUGUUGAGAUUUCUAGACGAGUAUAAGAAGCGAGAUGUAAACAUUUGGGCAAUGUCAACUGGAAAUGAACCAUCAAACGGAAUCCUGCCAAUAAAACGUUUCAACUCCUUAGGUUGGACUCCAAUCUCAGUGACAAACUGGACAGUGAAUUAUUUUGGCCCACAACUGCGAAACUCAAUUCACAAUGAUACAAUAUUGUUGGCAUUUGAUGACCAGCGCCUUUUUCUGCCUUGGUGGAUAAACCUAAUGGUGAGAGCUGACAAAAGAAUUUUAGAAUACAUCAAUGGUUUUGCUGUACACUGGUAUUGGGAUUUUCUUGAUAGGGGUUAAAGUCAUAAAUGACCUCCAUGAGAAUUAUCCAGAAAAGUUCACCUUGUAUACUGAAGCUUCUAUAGGAGACAAACCAUGGAGAAAAAAAGUGGACAUUGGAUCAUGGGAAAGAGGGGAAAUGUAUAUUGCUGACAUCAUUCAAAACCUGAAUGCCUGGGUGGACUGGGUGGCUGGACUGGAGUCUUGCACUGGACACUACUGGAGGCCCCAGCUGG